rnacentral:rRNA from 1 species
UAUUGGUCAAUGGGCGCAAGCCUGAACCAGCCAUCCCGCGUGCAGGAAGAAGGCGCUAUGCGUUGUAAACUGCUUUUCCAGGGGGCGAACCUCCCGCACGAGUGCGGGACUGACGGUACCUUGGGAAUAAGCAUCGGCUAACUCCGUGCCAGCAGCCGCGGUAAUACGGAGGAUGCGAGCGUUAUCCGGAUUUAUUGGGUUUAAAGGGUGCGUAGGCGGAUUAAUAAGUCAGUGGUGAAAACCUGCAGCUUAACUGUGGAACUGCCGUUGAUACUGUUAGUCUUGAGUAUGGUCAAGGUAGGCGGAAUGUGUAAUGUAGCGGUGAAAUGCUUAGAUAUUACACAGAACACCGAUUGCGAAGGCAGCUUACUGGGCCGUUACUGACGCUGAUGCACGAAAGCGUGGGGAUCGAACAGG